UACGUAGGGGGCAAGCGUUGUCCGGAUUUAUUGGGCGUAAAGCGCACGUAGGCGGCUUUGUAAGUUAGAGGUGAAAGCCCGGGGCUCAACUCCGGAACUGCCUUUAAGACUGCAUCGCUUGAAUCCAGGAGAGGUGAGUGGAAUUCCGAGUGUAGAGGUGAAAUUCGUAGAUAUUCGGAAGAACACCAGUGGCGAAGGCGGCUCACUGGACUGGUAUUGACGCUGAGGUGCGAAAGCGUGGGGAGCAAACAGG
rnacentral:rRNA from 1 species